GAUGAACGCUGGCGGCGUGCCUAAUACAUGCAAGUCGAGCGAACAGACGAGGAGCUUGCUCCUCUGACGUUAGCGGCGGACGGGUGAGUAACACGUGGAUAACCUACCUAUAAGACUGGGAUAACUUCGGGAAACCGGAGCUAAUACCGGAUAAUAUAUUGAACCGCAUGGUUCAAUAGUGUAAGACGGUUUUGCUGUCACUUAUAGAUGGAUCCGCGCCGCAUUAGCUAGUUGGUAAGGUAACGGCUUACCAAGGCAACGAUGCGUAGCCGACCUGAGAGGGUGAUCGGCCACAAUGGAACUGAGACAAGGUCCAGACUCCUACGGGAGGAAGCAGUAGGGAAUCUUCCGCAAUGGGCGAAAGCCUGACGGAGCAACGCCGCGUGAGUGAUGAAGGUCUUCGGAUCGUAAAAAUCUGUUAUUAGGGAAGAACAAAUGUGUAAGUAACUAUGCACGUCUUGACGGUACCUAAUCAGAAAGCGACGGCUAACUACGUG
rnacentral:rRNA from 1 species